AUCCGGGUGACGAGUCCCAAAUAGGACGAAACGCGCGUCCUGGAU
rnacentral:hammerhead_ribozyme from 1 species